CAUCCAGUCUCUACAAGUGGAAAUGAGCAGACUGAAAGUGCGACUAGAGGGCAGUCUGAGAUAGACCAACCCUCCCAGUCUUGUCAGAGCUCCCCCUCAGCCCAGAACGACCACACACACCCUCUCAGCUGAACACCUUGCAUUAGGUCUGCUCAGCGAAGGAGCGAUGGUGGUAGAGAGAGGAAGAGGGGCUACGAGCAGGAGGAGGAGGAUAGGGCUCCGAGGUCAACUCCUAGAACAUCAGCUUUUGUACCUCGACAGCCUCUAAGACCUGAACUGGAUAUCAGGGAGUCAUGGGCUGUAUCCCAAAUGGUACCCUAUUCCCUAUAGGGCUUUGGUCAAAAGUUGUGCACUUUAUAGGGAGUAGGGUGCCAUUUGGGACUCACCUGGGACACAGAUUACCCUUUACAUGCAUACAUACAGUACACUACACAAUACACUUCACAAUACACUUCACAUUACACUUCAACUAUACAUUUCACAACACACUUAACUAUACAUUCAUCAUUUACUAGAGUGUUAUUUUUGCUGGGUACCCUAGGUGUAAGUCAUCUGGCAAAAUAUUGAUUUUUGUUUGUUUUAUCUCCAGCGACAGAUUCGGUGCAUGCCCAGUCCACACCCAGAUAUCGGUCCUCCAGACGUAUCCCAGAGUCCCCUGCAUCACGUGGCAGAGCAGAGACAGUCAGGAACAGAGGAGCCCACAACAACCAGACACUGAGGUGACACUGAGGCUAUCCACAGUCACACUGGUCUUCAUUCUCAUCAAUGUUCUAUGUGUGGGAGGUCUGAGACAUAUUGGAACACAAGCAGUGAACACGGUGAAUAACAGACAUGCCCUUAUUAACAUCAAGUCGUCCUAUAGCUAUCUACUGUACACUCACCAUUCCCUCCAGUAUGGCACCGGAGGGAAUGGUGGCCGUUUUACGGGCUCCUGACAAAUUGUGCUACUCUGUGUAUUUUUGGGCACUAAUCCUAACUUUUUUUGUACAUAAUGUUUCCACAAUCCUUUCCUAUAACCGAAUACAGCAUCUGGACAUCUGAACAGCUAUCACUAUUUGGAGGAGGACUUCUACUUCAAUGAGUCAGAGGCGAAAGACAUAUUGAUUAUCGUGGACCAGGCCGAAAUCCCCGACACUUGAAGAAGGAGGAGACGGUGCUAUAGAGGCCGAUGUGCUGGAUACCUGACGAGACUUCGUUGGAGAGUGGAUAAAUCACCUCUAACCUCCGUUCUAUUGGUGAAACUCAAACAGGAAGUACCAGUGACGCGCUCAAUACAGAAGUGGUUCGA